rnacentral:lncRNA from 10 species
CUCACCCAAAUGAAACAAACAGGUAGGGAGGAAAACAAGGACAGAAACCAGGAGGCCCAGCCCAGGAUUAAAAACACACCACAGCCUUUCCAAAAAGUCAGAGUCAUACAUGGAUCACUUGGAAAUAACUGAACUUGCAAAUCCAGUUUCCCAUGGACCUGCUGAGUUUAUGAGGUAAGAGAAGGGAAGCGUUCACAUAAUGAGAGAUGAUUCUUUUCAUUACCGUGGUUGCAAACUUGGAUGAUGGCAGGAGCAUUUGUGCUUGGCUACAGGAUUCCAAUUCCUGCCUGAGAUUUCAGAAUACCCUUCCUGCCCUUCUUUGAAGAUGGCCAGGAUCCUUGAGGAUGCCUUGCAGUUGUUGGGCCACCCUCAAUUUCCCAUAAAGGUGGCAUAGCCACCCCCUCCGCCAACACAUACCUUAUUAAAAUCUUUCUCAGUCUCCCUUGAAUUCUUUCGUGUACAUCCGGCACUCGGGCCUGCAAUUAUCUUGCUUUUAAAUCACCUGCAGAGGAAGAAGGCAUGCAGGCAGAAGCUGGCUGGGGCAUGUCCUGGUCAUCAUUGUGUGCCCAGGUAGGCAGUGGGCCCUUUGAGAAAAGGACGGCAUUCUCUUCUUGUCACUCCCCCAUCCCUACCACCCCUCACUGAGCAUAGUAGAAAUUUAAUAAAAAUUUGUCAAUAGAUUAAUUGCAUCAUUACCUGGUUCUGUUGUGAAAGCAGAAGCUAAUCCCCCUGAGACUUUACUCCCCUGCUUUAUUUAUUUAUUUAUUUAUUUAGAGACAGGGUCUCAUUCUGUCACCCAGGCUGGAGUGCAGUGGUGUGAUUAUAGCUCACUGCGCCUCAAACUCCUGGGCUCAAGCGGU